CCUCUACUGAAAAAACACUCGCAGAGUCUGCUUGAGGAAGCUGAGGCAAAUGGGGAAAUGCACAACCAAAGACAACCAGUCCUUCCUUUCUGUACACCUGUGGUCUUCAGAGGAGGGUCAGCAGGGAAGAAAAAGGGGGAAUUUGAUACCCAACUCAGCUCUAGUAGUAUUGCUUGCAAAUGGAGAUAGAACAACAUCCGAAUCCACUGCAAGGCAGAAUAGCAGCCUGUAUUGAGGGUGGAAAGAGAUGCACUUAAGGCAGAGAAAAAAACAGUGAGAGAAUAGAAACAGAAACAGAGAAAAGAGUGGAAAGGUGGCAUGGAUUUCAGAGAGGGAGCAGAGACAGUCUUCAGGGGAGAUGUCAAGAGGCAUGAGACUCCUGAGAGAAAGGAUGUGAGAGACACCAUCAUACAAACUAACAUCUGAUGGUGGAGAAAGAAGAGUGGAGUGGGAAAAGGUGGAUCAUGUACCAUUUACUAGAAGAGAGCUUGCAGACAGGCAUAUGAGAAAGAGGGGAAAAAGACCAUUAACAGAUAAGAAAGAGUAUAGGCAUAGAAAAGGAGGGAAUAAAAGUGGGUAAAAGUAAGCAGCAGAAAAGCUAACACAGGAAAAGGACAGAUAAUCAUCAGAUGGACGUGAUGAGUUAGAGACAAGAAAGAACACAAAAAGAAAAAUAGAAGACACUGGCACACAUUGAUUAAUCUUAUUAUUUAUGAUCUUGCAUCCUGUGGUCCUUCACAGAUAGAGCACCUCAGAUCUCUACUCUCACUCUUCACUCUACAGUUCAGUAGUACAGUUACUUAAUUGGAGAGCACUAAGACUGCAAUAUCUGAUAUCCACUAGGAUGUGCACGGCUUUCUGUAGUGUGUAGGGAAUUGGCCAUCAGACCCCAUGCUAUAUUUAGAACCACCCCUAGGGGACAUCUCCAUCUGCUGACAAAUUAUAGUCCAGGCUAGCAGAAGCUGGUUGGCAGCACUUCUCACACUAAAGAAAAGCUCUGUACCAUUUAGGGAUAGGCCUGGAUAAGGCACGUCUGAGCUACUAGGUGGUGAGUGAGCUGCUGUUCAAACUGAUGGCAAUAAAGACCUGCAGAUGUA